UUCUCCCAUUGGUCUAUGUGCCUGUUUUUAUGCCAGUGCCAUGCUGUUUUGGUUACUACAGCUCUCUAGUAUAAUUUGAAUUCAAGUAAUGUGAUUCAUCCAGUUUUGUUUUUUUUGUUUAGGAUA